rnacentral:lncRNA from 1 species
GCAACCUCAGCCCAGUAGGCUCAUCUUAAGGACAAGAACGGCAAGAAGAAUCUAAGGCGGAGGAGGAAGGUUUGAUCCUGGGGAUUUUGAAAGCAAUGAAACUCUGAGCCUGGCUGCACCAUUCUCGGGCUUGCCUUGAUGGUAACUUCCGGAGGAAACUUUGAAGAGAAGGGCGAUUCUGAGAAAAAUCCCCUGCACCCACUUUUACCACCCGGGUCACAGUUCUCUCAUUGUCCCUAGCAAACUGUCCCCGUGGCCUCUGUCCCGCCUAACACAGCUCAGUUGGGGGGUGGGUGCGAGGGGUGGGGACUAUAGCCUGUGAUGCUCCAGCAGGAGCAGCUGGCCUAGGAGGGAGUCUCUCCCUGCGCCGCUUAGCACCGCCUCACUGCGUGGCUCCGCCCAAUAGCUGCUUAGCACUCUUUCAACGACACCCAGAAAUUCUGACGUACCCUCCCCCUCUCCUCCCGGGGACGAAGGCCUGGCUUGUGACGCCCGCUCCAAAAGGCAUGAGACUGAUGCGGGUUUCCCCGGGUGCCCGGGCCUCUCCAAACUGGGAGAGCUUGCCGGAGGUGCCCACCGAGGGGCGACCCAGGACUGCGCUUGGUCACCCACGAUGCCCACGUACCGGAUCCGCGGCUCGCACCGCCCAGCGUGUAGCCAGCCUGCGGCGCGCUUCCGGGUAGGACACGUGACUCAGCCACAUGACCGGGGCCUGCUUUGUGGGUUCGAGCCCCGCCCCGUCAGGCAUUGCUCACCCUUCAGGCUACUGUGCUUGCUGGUCACCCGCCGCUAGGGAGCCGUGCCACGUUCACCCUGGCAUAAGUAGGUAUCUCACUGCCUUUAGAGGCACCAGCUGAGCCGGUGACAUUUCUAGAGUCUCUUUUGCUUGAUUUAGCUAAAGGGAUUCCCCACAGAUUUACAGAAGGGGCAACUGAGAACCCCGAGGGAACCCCCUUGCUGAAGAAGGAACAAA